rnacentral:misc_RNA from 1 species
AGAGAGAGAAAGAGUACCACCGCUGCUUCGGACGCUUCCCAUGUACAAGGUAUUUCCUGUGCUCAUACCGCGGGCCGCGAAGGUACGUGCCCAGUGCCUGGAGCUGGGAAGUCUGAAUGACUACGGCACAAGCCCGUCGACGCUGGUUGCUGCGGCGCCGUCCGCUACGAACGUCUACACACUCGCCUUUGGCGAGCGCGAAGGUCUCGCCCCUGGAGAGCGACUGGAGGUGUAUGGCAACACGGUGCGACUCGUGCGAACCCUCGCCUACGGCUGCCCGCGAGGCGUCACCCCCGAGAGCGCCUUCACGGGACGGCUGAAGGAUGCGGAGCUGGCCGCUAUCACGGAGCAGCUGGAUUUGCUGAGGCGGGAGACGCGCAGGUCUGACACGCUACUGCAUACAGCGGAUGACAGCAACGCCAGCGGGCAGGCGCACAGGAGCGUAACUACGGCCGUUGGCGAGGAGCCCCUACGCCCGUCAGAAUGGAUGCUGCGAGUACCCGAUGUGGCCAACAGUCGCGUGCUCCGGAACGCGGUGCCGGAUGACCCACAGACGUGCUCUGGCAGGAGUCUAGCGGCCCAGCUGAGCAAGCUGCGCGUCAGCGAGGAGGAGGUGGUCGUGGCGGAGUGGGUAGGAAAGCCAAAGGGGGACAGUGAGGCCGCCGCCGGCGCGUCCGCAUGGUCGCCGCGGUUUUCAUCGGCGGGUGCCUCCACGCGCGCGGAUCGCUCAACGAGUGCCGCUGCCACGGCUAAGGAGACCAACCCUAGCAGCAGCAGUGCGGGCACGACAUCUGCGCUACCCUCCACUGCGUUCAAGGGCGGUGCCGUGCCGCCACCCGCCGCGGGUGGCACACUCCUCAUGGAGAACGGCGUUUGCUUCGGCAGCCCCGACUCGUGCGGACUACGAGCCCUCCGCACGGCUCGCCUUGCCUUCAUCUCCAGCAUCGAGCUCACCGCCAACGGCCUCGCUUGGCGGCAGCGUCGCCACACGUGCGAGGAGGCGCGUGGCUUGACUGUGCUCGACGCGAGCGCCAUCGACUUCACCUUCGCGCAGGCAGCUCUGCAGUCCACCCUGGAGCUGGGCCUGCACGCGGGUGCGGGGUGUCAGAUAUCUCACGUGCCGCUGACCGAUGCGGCGGCCGCGCACGUGGAGCCGCAGGCGGCAAGCUACAUCCGCGUCGUCGCCGCCGGGCCUGGUCGAGCAUUGCCAAGGCCCUUUGACUACCUGCCGACCCACUCGAUCGAUGUUGGCGCCUACACAGCGCACCUGCCUCUGCCCGUCGGACCUGCCGCAGAAGAGAAGGGCGGCGGCGGCGGCGGCGAGGGGUCGGCAGCCUCGAGGCGAGGAUUCAAGUCGCCUGGCAGAGAUGCGAGAGCAAAUCGCCAACAACUCGCCGUGCAGCUUUCCCAAGCGCUUGCGACGCUGCGCCGCGGCGCCUUCAUGCUUGUCACGUUUGUGCCGACGUGUUCCAGCGUGGCGACGCUGUACCAUCAAAUGGAAACGCAGCGGCGCGCGGAGGUGCUCAUCGAGCACAAGGUCGUGACGGAGGCGAAAGCGUGCAUCGCGGAGGCCAUCGCGCGCACCGGGCGGUGGGGCUUCAUCACGGACGAGGUGCUUCCUGCCGCGGACAGCGCGCAGGGCAGCUCCUUCUCUCUUGUCGUAAUGCUCGAGUGACACACCGCUCUUGAUCCGUGGGUGUACGUGAGUUUUCGGUGAUCGCGUGCGUGUGCACACGAUCGUGCGCGUUCGCCUCGUCGUGGCGCUGAGCGCCUCCCCCUCCCCCUCCCACCACACCACACAUGAAGUUCGCCACAGGGACAGAAAGGCGAAAGAAGGGAUCAGAGUGGGGCUGACCGGUCGCUAAGAGCUCGGAGGAGAGAAGACGGAGGUCGAUGACGGAUGCUUGCGAAGAGAGUCGGCACCCCAGCGUGUAUGACAAGGGUUGUGUCGAAGAUGGCCGUGCCGCUGGGCACAUCAAUGGCCUCCUCCACCCACCCCUCCAUCCCCCCCCCCUAUCUCUCGUGUGUGUGUGUGUGUGUGUGUGUUAUGCGCUCUCCCUACCGUAAUGCCCCGUCCUGGACCUCUUCGCUUCCUCGUCUCGCUCUCCACACACACCUACACACACACGCAG